rnacentral:rRNA from 1 species
CUACGGGGCGCAGCAGUAGGGAAUUUUGCGCAAUGGGGGAAACCCUGACGCAGCAACGCCGCGUGAACGAUGACGCUUUUCGGAGUGUAAAGUUCUGUCAGUGGGGACGAAUUUUGACGGUACCCACAGAGGAAGCACCGGCUAACUCCGUGCCAGCAGCCGCGGUAAUACGGAGGGUGCAAGCGUUGUCCGGAAUCAUUGGGCGUAAAGAGUUCGUAGGCGGUAUGUUAAGUCUGGUGUUAAAGCCCGAAGCUCAACUUCGGUUCGGCACUGGAUACUGGCAAACUUGAAUGUGGUAGAGGUAAAGGGAAUUCCUGGUGUAGCGGUGAAAUGCGUAGAUAUCAGGAGGAACAUCGGUGGCGUAAGCGCUUUACUGGGCCAUAAUUAACGCUGAGGAACGAAAGCCAGGGUAGCAAAUGGGAUUAGAUACCCCAGUAGUC